GGCUACUGGACGGGUUCCAGGAUUAUGCGUGUGCAUACCUGGAUGAUAUUGCCAUCUACAGUCAGACCUGGUCGGAUCACUUACAACAUAUAGGGGCUGUAAUAGAUCGGAUCCGGGAGGCAGGGCUUACCUUGAAGCCCAGCAAAUGCCACAUAGGGAUGGCAGAGGUCCAAUACUUAGGACACCGGGUGGGGAGCGGGCAACAGAAGCCUGAGCCCGCAAAGAUUGAAGCAGUAGCCCAGUGGCCUACCCCUAGGACCAAAACCCAAGUUCUCGC